rnacentral:rRNA from 1 species
UACAGAGGGGACAAGCGUUGUUCGGAAUUACUGGGCGUAAAGGGCGCGUAGGCGGCCUGUUAAGUCGAACGUGAAAUCCCCGGGCUCAACCCGGGAACUGCGUCCGAUACUGGCAGGCUUGAAUUCGGGAGAGGGAUGCAGAAUUCCAGGUGUAGCGGUGAAAUGCGUAGAUAUCUGGAGGAAUACCGGUGGCGAAGGCGGCAUCCUGGACCGACAUUGACGCUGAGGAGCGAAAGCUAGGGGAGCAAACGGG